CCUACGGGAGGCAGCAGUGGGGGAUAUUGCACAAUGGGGGAAACCCUGAUGCAGCGACGCCGCGUGAGUGAAGAAGUAUUUCGGCAUGUAAAGCUCUAUCAGCAGGGCAGCAACAGAAGGUAACUUACUAAGAAACCCCGGCUAAAUACGGUCCCGCAACCGCCGUAAUACGUAGGGGGCCGGCGUGUGCCGGAUUUACCGGGUGUAACGGGAGCGUAGACGGCAGCGACAGGCUGGCGUGAAAGCCCGGGGCUUAACCCCGGGACUGCUUUUGCAACUGUAUAGCUGGAGUGCAGGAGGGGUAAGCGGAAUUCCUGGUGUAGCGGUGAAAUGCGUAGAUAUUAGGAGGAACACCAGUGGCGAAGGCGGCUUACUGGACCGCAACUGACGUUGAGGCUCGAAAGCGUGGGGAGCGAACAGGAUUAGAUACCCCAGUAGUC
rnacentral:rRNA from 1 species